GAUGAAGAACGUAGUGAAAUGCGAUAAGUAAUGUGAAUUGCAGAAUUCAGUGAAUCAUCGAAUCUUUGAACGCACCUUGCGCCUUUUGGUAUUCCGAAAGUCACACCUGUUUGAGCGUCAUGAAUACCUCAAUCUCCAUCUUUUCUUCGGAUUGAUGGGUGACUUGGAUGUUGAGCCCUGCUGGUAUGCUAUAUCAGCUGGCUUUAAACUUAUUAGCCGGCUCUGUACUGGAUCGGUUUGACUCGACGUGAUAAUAUUAUCGUUGAGGAUGCAUGUCUCAUGCAGCCGGAAAGUAUCAAAGCAGCUUCUAGCUUGCCUUUAGUGCACUUUUACAUUUUAGACCUCAGAUCAGGUGGGACUACCCGCUGAACUUAAGCAUAUCAAUAAGCGGAGGA
rnacentral:misc_RNA from 1 species